rnacentral:rRNA from 1 species
CUUGCCUACGGGAGGCAGCAGUGGGGAAUAUUGGGCAAUGGACGCAAGUCUGACCCAGCAACGCCGCGUGAAGGAAGAAGGCUUUCGGGUUGUAAACUUCUUUUAAGGGGGAAGAGCAGAAGACGGUACCCCUUGAAUAAGCCACGGCUAACUACAUGCCAGCAGCCGCGGUAAUACGUAGGUGGCAAGCGUUGUCCGGAUUUACUGGGUGUAAAGGGCGUGCAGCCGGAGAGACAAGUCAGAUGUGAAAGCAGCAGGAUCAACCUGCGAACUGCAUUUGAAACUGUUUC